UGGCUGCUGAGCUUAAAAAAAAUUUGCCUGCAAGCAAAACUAUCUGGGAGUACAGUAAACUCCUAAUUAACCUGAAUUGGAAAAGGCAGAAGAACAGAGGGAGUGAACAUGUCUCAGGACUAAGACCAAGACAGAGGGACUCAAAACCAGUGAUUUGAGAGCCCCGCGACGCAGCCUGCUACAGGAGCGGGGACUUCUCUGGAACAUUGGCGUGCGCAGAGAUUAAUCCCACCGUAGAGAGCCAGCCUGGCCUUUGAAGUGUUACAAGGGGACGGAGGAGAGCGGAGAGGGAGCGAGCGCUGUACCGCAGACAUCAUUUCUACUACAGUGGUGGAGACAUCCCGGACCUGUGUCACUGCAGGGGGAAGGAAAAAAGCCAAACAAACAAAAAGCAGACCCAAGCCCCGUGAUCAGCUAGGAAGACAUUUGUGUGCGAGUCUCUCUCUGACCCCCCACCCCCGCCAACCCCACCUCCACUGACACUUUACAGUAAGUGGUUUUUUUUUUCCUCCUCUGCUUUCUGCCUCCC
rnacentral:lncRNA from 13 species